rnacentral:lncRNA from 1 species
GUUUUUAGUUUAGGGUAUAUGAUUGAUUUAAGAUUUAAAGCCGAUUUAGGAGUUCAUAUUUUAAGGUUUAGGGAGUAUGGAUUUAGGGGUUAUGAAUUAGGGAUUAUGGUUUAAGGGUUGGGAUGUAAGGUUUAGGGGUUAGGGGUUUAGGGGUUAGAUGUUAGGGGUUAAGAGUUAGGGAUUUAAGGUUUAGGGAUUCAGGGGUCGAGUUAAGGUUUUGAGUUUAGAUUAAUUAUUUUUUUAUUUAUAUUUUAAAUAUGUUCUUAUAUAAUUGUAAAAUAGAUAAUAAUAAUAAAUCAAAUAUAUUGAAAUUAUGAG